UAGCCGACCUGAGAGGGUGAUCGGCCACACUGGGACUGAAACACGGCCCAGACUCCUACGGGAGGCAGCAGUAGGGAAUCUUCCGCAAUGGACGAAAGUCUGACGGAGCAACGCCGCGUGAGUGAUGAAGGUUUUCGGAUCGUAAAACUCUGUUGUUAGGGAAGAACAAGUACCGGAGUAACUGCCGGUACCUUGACGGUACCUAACCAGAAAGCCACGGCUAACUACGUGCCAGCAGCCGCGGUAAUACGUAGGUGGCAAGCGUUGUCCGGAAUUAUUGGGCGUAAAGCGCGCGCAGGCGGUUCUUUAAGUCUGAUGUGAAAGCCCACGGCUCAACCGUGGAGGGUCAUUGGAAACUGGGGAACUUGAGUGCAGAAGAGGAAAGUGGAAUUCCAGUGUAGCGGUGAAAUGCGUAGAGAUUUGGAGGAACACCAGUGGGGAAGGCGAUUUUCUGGUCUGUAACUGACGCUGAGGCGCGAAAGCGUGGGGAGCAAACAGGAUUAGAUACCCUGGUAUUGCACGCCGUAAACGAUGAGUGCUAAGUGUUAGAGGGUUUCUGCCCUUUAGUGCUGCAGCAAACGCAUUAAGCACUCCGCCUGGGGAGUACGACCGCAAGGUUUAAACUCAAAGGAAUUGACGGGGGCCCGCACAAGUGGUGGAGCAUGUGUUUUAAUUCGAAGCAACGCGAAGAUCCUUAACACGUCUUGACAUCCUCUGACAAUCCUAGAGAUAGGAUUUUCCCCUUCGGGGGACAGAGUGACAGGUGGUGCAUGGUUGUCGUCAGCUCGUGUCGUGAGAUGUUGGGUUAAGUCCCGCAACGAGCGCAACCCUUGAUCUUAGUCGCCGCAUUCAGUUGGGCACUCUAAGGUGACUGCCGGUGACAAACCGGAGGAAGGUGGGGAUGACGUCAAAUCAUCAUGCCCCUUAUGACCUGGGCUACACACGUGCUACAAUGGACGGUACAAAGGGCUGCAAGACCGCGAGGUUUAGCCAAUCCCAUAAAACCAUUCUCAGUUCGGAUUGUAGGUUGCAACUCGCCUACA
rnacentral:rRNA from 2 species